GAUAAACGCUGGCGGCGUGCAUAACACAUGCAAGUCGAACGAUGAAGCUUAAAUGAUCUCUUCGGAGUGACCUUAAGUGGAUUAGUGGCGGACGGGUGAGUAACGCGUGAGUAACCUGCCUUGCACAAGGGGAUAGCCGUUGGAAACGACGAAUAAUACCCUAUGAUAUGAUAGUCUCGCAUGAAGCUAUCAUCAAAGAUUUAUCGGUGUAAGAUGGACUCGCGUCUGAUUAGCUAGUUGGUGGGGUAAUAGCCUACCAAGGCAACGAUCAGUAGCCGGCUUGAGAGAGUGUACGGCCACAUUGGGACUGAGACACGGCCCAGACUCCUACGGGAGGCAGCAGUGGGGAAUUUUGCACAAUGGGGGAAACCCUGAUGCAGCGACGCCGCGUGAUUUAGAAGGCCUUCGGGUUGUAAAAAUCUUUUGUAUGGGAAGAAAAUGACAGUACCAUACGAAUAAGGACCGGCUAAUUACGUGCCAGCAGCCGCGGUAAUACGUAAGGUCCGAGCGUUGUCCGGAAUCAUUGGGCGUAAAGGGUACGUAGGCGGAUAAGCAAGUUAGAAGUGAAAUCCUAUAGCUCAACUAUAGUAAGCUUUUAAAACUGCUCAUCUUGAGGUAUGGAAGGGGAAGUGGAAUUCCUAGUGUAGCGGUGAAAUGCGCAGAUAUUAGGAGGAAUACCGGUGGCGAAGGCGACUUUCUGGCCAUAAACUGACGCUGAGGUACGAAAGCGUGGGUAGCAAACAGG
rnacentral:rRNA from 1 species